GUCUUCAUUACACACCCAUAUCAUAAUAGUUGGCGGAGAAUCAACGAUUUUCGGAACCUCGGAGCCCAGGAACUAACUACAACCAGCUACAAGAACACAUGGAAUAACAAGCAACUGCAUCCACGUCUGAUCUCAACACUGGAUUAAGGACCACCAACUCCUGUAAAGACACCAACCAAGGAAGAAAAAGUCUUCAAAAAUUGUAAGUACUACUUUACAUUGUUGAUUUCUUGUCUUUUCUUAAUUAUAGCACGGUACAUACUAUAAGGUGUCAUGGCCAAUAUGGAGUCUGGUAUGGAAAGUAACUGUGGAAGUGAAAU